GAGGUUUUAUUCAUUAUAAGGUCUUAUAGUGGUGUUGGUUUGAGUAUCGUGAAUAAUGACUAUAUAAUGAAUAUAAUGCAGGUGUUAUACUUUAGUCAAGAUCAUGAUCUUCCUCUGAAGUUGCAUUUGUGGUGAGAGCGUUUUCCAUUUUUGUAUUCUUAGAAUUGAAGCCCUUUGCUCACAGGAUAUAAGAAUCUUUCAUUUCUCAGAAUUGAAUCCCUUUCUGCUGUUUAAUAUGCAUCUUCUCACUAUUUAAAAUCCCCCUGAAGCUCAGACGGCACAACAUCAGCAGAGAUCUCAGAGUUGUGAUGGACAUUUUCUUCUCUUCAGCUCAACACAUGAUGGGAUGUAGAAAUGAAAUCACACAGAGAGAAAACUGCUGGAGCAUAAGAAACCAGAUAGGAAGAACUACAAACAUGGAGGCCAGAAAUGAGACACAAACCAGAGAAACACUAGAGAAAAACAGACGGACACUUGUCAGAUGUGACAGUAUGAAGAUAAUAAAACCAGAAUUCUCAUGUGAUCCAGACAGACCUGUAAACUUUCCUUCUGAUGAAACUUCAUCAUGUUCUGAAGAACACACAACGUCCCUGAGACAACAGCAGCGGCUGAAGACAACACCAUCAUGAUCCCAGACUCCAUCCAUCCACACUACAGUCUGAUCACAUCCUCAGAGACGGAGGAUUACUCUAUAAUAAUCCUGAUUACUGAUCUCUAUGAGAUCAUUAUUCAUUCACUAAUAAACCCCACAUGAUUAAAAUUGGCUGCAUCUAUUAUAAUAGAUUAUAGAACAUUUUAAUUAUUUUGAGAAUAGUUUUUAAAUUAUAAUCUUUCAAAAUAAUUUUGUUCUGGUUCAGUAAGGUGCACUCAGUGGUUGAGUCAGAU